rnacentral:rRNA from 1 species
UUGCGUUAAUGUAAAAGAAUUUGCUUUUUGCAAAUUCAAUAAUUUUUUUUGGAAAUAAAAUUUUCAGCUAAUCUCCAUCCUUGAAUCACAAGAUAAAAUAGGAGCUAGGGUGUAGUGCUUUGGUAAAGGGGGCUAGAAAAGUUAAAUCUUUUUUUUUAUUUGUCACCAUUUAUUGGUAUAAAGUUGCCUAAGAAUACAGAUAAUGACUAUUUUCUUUAGGUGAGUCUUGACUAAAACACGUGCCAGCAGUCGCGGCAACACGGGACAGACAAGUGUUAUUCAUCUUUAAUAGGUUUAAAGGGUACCUAGACGGCAAAAUUAACCCCCAAAGAGAGAGGGAGUGCGUUUUUGCUAGAGUUUUAUGUGAGAGGAAUUUAGUACUAACAGAGUAGAGAUGAAAUUCUUUGAUACUGUAGGGCACUGAUAACGGCGAAGGCAGACCUUUAUGUAAAAACUGACGUUGAGGGACGAAGGCUUGGGUAACAAACAGGAUUAGGUACCCUAAUAGUCCAGGCAGAGAAUGAUGAGUGCCAUAGAUUAGAAAUAUUUUGGUCUAUAAAUGAAAGUGUAAGCACUCCACCUUAAGAGUAAUGCGGCAACGCAGGAACUGAAAUCAUUAGACCGUUUCUGAUACCAGUAGUGAAGUAUGUUGUUUAAUUCGAUGACCCACGAAAAAUUUUACCACAAUUUGAAUACUUUAGCACCAGAUUUUCAAAAUUUUUGGUAAGUCUUUUUGAUAUUUUAUUAAAAAGAUGUAAGUGCUAUUUUACAGGUGUUGCAUGGCUGUCUUCAGUUGAUGUCGUGAGACGCAGGUUAGAUCCACUAAUCAACGUGUAACCCUUAUUUUAUUUUGUAUAAAUAGAGUAGUUUCCCUGGGACAUCGGAAAGAUAACUGGGACCAAGACAAGUCCUCAU